rfam:Clostridium baratii str. Sullivan, complete genome.
CGAGUAAGACGUGCAAUCGCUGCUAGCCUUAGAGCUAGGAGAGGAAAGUCGGAGCUCCAUAGGGCAGGGUGCUGGCUAACGGCCAGUCGAGGCGACUCGAAGGAAAGUGCAACAGAAAUAUACCGCCUAAGAUUGGAUUCUUGGGUAAGGAUGGAAAGGCGAGGUAAGAGCUCACCAGCAUAAUGGAGACAUUAUGGCUAUGUAAACCCCACUUGGAGCAAGACCGAGAAAGAAGCGUUUUGGGGCGGCCCGUCCCGCUUCGUGGUGUGUCGCUUGAGCUUGUUAGCAAUAACAAGUCUAGAUAGAUGAUUGCUUAAUACAGAACUCCGCUUAUGGCUUAUCUCGCAUG